rnacentral:lncRNA from 1 species
GGGGUAGUUCAUUUACCUCUGCCCUCUAGUCUAGGGGCCCAGCCAGGGCAGGAGCUUGAUGGGCUGUGGCCCCCUUCCCAGCGCCACUUGGGCCUUCCCAGAUGGACGUGGAGGGGUAGUCGGUGGGGCCCUCAGGAAGAGCUAGCGAGGGUAGCAGUUGUGGCAUCAGAUGGCUGCCAAUCUUGGCCAGUCUGAGCUUCAGUUAAAGCUGAAGGAAGGAGAGGAGACAGUUGGCCUUUCCAUCACACCCCACACCACAAGAGAAUAACUUGCUUCAAAACGCUAUGCAAAAAGUUGACAGCUGUCACUCUGGGUUCAGGGUUACAAACUCAGAUGCCAAAGGGCCAGCUUGACACCAAAGUGGUUUACACCGAGGAGCCAGGCUCCACGGAAGAGGAGGCAGCUGGACACUGCUCCAGCUGCUAUCAGGAGAAAGGCAGACCCAUGGCUGCCAAGCCUCAUCUUCUUCCCCCUAAGAAACAGGAGAUCUGGGGUUUUACCCAGAAUGGCCCAAUCUUCAAAUGUGGGCAACAUUUUGUUUAUUCAGACCAAAGACAUGUUUGGUCUUCAGUUGGCAUUUAAGCACAAAUGUGGGCAAUACCGCCCGGCAAAGCCGGUUGCUGACAUACUUUAAAAUAUGCCCUCUGUGCCAUCAGAUGUCAACAACUCGAAACCCACAGGAAAUAUUGGAAGCCAAGGCCAACCCUUCCUUGACCCUCAACACACACAUUCCCCAGCUUACCUUGUGAGGAUGGGUUGUAGGAAGUGGUGAGGGGAGAAGCAGGGCCUGCUGGGGACCUCAAGUGAGGAGGGAUGAGAAUGGCAUUGAGAGAUGGUUGGAUGGACAGUUCUAGAGACAGGAAUUGACAUAUUCAGUCAAGAAGAGGCAAAGCUUAUGGAAAGCCAGUUAGGGUUAGGAUGGGGCACCAAACAAGGACCCAGUUACUGGCAAGGCCAGGUAGAAGAGACUUUAGCCACAGGACUCCUAAGUGUAACAGUGGAAAGGGCACAAUGUGGAGACACCUGGCUGAGCCAGGGCCACCUUGUACUCUCUCAGCUCCCCAUUCCUGCUCAACACCAAGCCUCUCCACAUCCCCCACAUCUCCGCUGGCCCCAGGCUAUGCUCACCACCAGGACUGAAGUUGAACAGGGGGGGAAGCGGGCGGUCGUUGGGGAGCUGGGCUCCGAGUCUCCGCAGUUCAUCGAAGAAGCUGUGGGCACAAGCCUCGAGUGGGGAGAGCCUUGAGGAUGGCGUGUACUCCAGUAGGCUAGAGCAGAGUGCAAUGGCCUCAGGUGGUGUCUUUGAAGAUUUGAACACCUGUGGGUUGAUUCAGAGGUGAGAGGCGCAGUGACACUCUGUGGCAGCCUGCUUCCCAAACACCCACCUCCCUGGUAAGGAGACAGACACAGUGAGAUGGGCACUGGCUCAGGGUCCAUGACUUGUGACUCCUGGUGCAUACUUGUCACCAUACAAAUGGGAAUCUUGUAUUUACCUAUGAGUUCUCAACUUUUAAAAUUCUAUAAACUUCACAAUCACAAAAU